UACGUAGGUGGCGAGCGUUGUCCGGAUUUACUGGGCGUAAAGGGAGCGUAGGCGGACUUUUAAGUGAGAUGUGAAAUACUCGGGCUCAACUUGAGUGCUGCAUUUCAAACUGGAAGUCUAGAGUGCAGGAGAGGAGAAUGGAAUUCCUAGUGUAGCGGUGUAAUGCGUAGAGAUUAGGAAGAACACCAGUGGCGAAGGCGAUUCUCUGGACUGUAACUGACGCUGAGGCUCGAAAGCGUGGGGAGCAAAUAGG
rnacentral:rRNA from 1 species